AGUGUUGCUACAGAUAUAAUGCAAGUCGAGCGAACCGAUUAAGAGCUUGCUCUUAAGAAGUUAGCGGCGGACGGGUGAGUAACACGUAGGUAACCUGCCUAUAAGACUGGGAUAACUCCGGGAAACCGGGGCUAAUACCGGAUAACAUUUUGCACCGCAUGGUGCGAAAUUGAAAGGCGGCUUCGGCUGUCACUUAUAGAUGGACCUGCGGCGCAUUAGCUAGUUGGUGAGGUAACGGCUCACCAAGGCGACGAUGCGUAGCCGACCUGAGAGGGUGAUCGGCCACACUGGGACUGAGACACGGCCCAGACUCCUACGGGAGGCAGCAGUAGGGAAUCUUCCGCAAUGGACGAAAGUCUGACGGAGCAACGCCGCGUGAACGAUGAAGGCUUUCGGGUCGUAAAGUUCUGUUGUUAGGGAAGAACAAGUGCUAGUUGAAUAAGCUGGCACCUUGACGGUACCUAACCAGAAAGCCACGGCUAACUACGUGCCAGCAGCCGCGGUAAUACGUAGGUGGCAAGCGUUAUCCGGAAUUAUUGGGCGUAAAGCGCGCGCAGGUGGUUUCUUAAGUCUGAUGUGAAAGCCCACGGCUCAACCGUGGAGGGUCAUUGGAAACUGGGAGACUUGAGUGCAGAAGAGGAAAGUGGAAUUCCAUGUGUAGCGGUGAAAUGCGUAGAGAUAUGGAGGAACACCAGUGGCGAAGGCGACUUUCUGGUCUGUAACUGACACUGAGGCGCGAAAGCGUGGGGAGCAAACAGGAUUAGAUACCCUGGUAGUCCACGCCGUAAACGAUGAGUGCUAAGUGUUAGAGGGUUUCCGCCCUUUAGUGCUGAAGUUAACGCAUUAAGCACUCCGCCUGGGGAGUACGGCCGCAAGGCUGAAACUCAAAGGAAUUGACGGGGGCCCGCACAAGCGGUGGAGCAUGUGGGUUUAAUUCGAAGCAACGCGAAGAACCUUACCAGGUCUUGACAUCCUCUGACAACCCUAGAGAUAGGGCUUCCCCUUCGGGGGCAGAGUGACAGUGUGCAUGGAUUGUCGUCAGCUCGUGUCGUGAGAUGUUGGG
rnacentral:rRNA from 1 species